rnacentral:rRNA from 1 species
GACGAACGCUGGCGGCGUGCCUAAUACAUGCAAGUAGGACGCACAGUCUAUACCGUAGCUUGCUACACCAUAGGCUGUGAGUUGCGAACGGGUGAGUAACGCGUAGGUAACCUGCCUAUUAGAGGGGGAUAACUAUUGGAAACGAUAGCUAAUACCGCAUAACAGUAUGUAACACAUGUUAGAUGCUUGAAAGAUGCAAUUGCAUCGCUAGUAGAUGGACCUGCGUUGUAUUAGCUAGUAGGUAGGGUAAUGGCCUACCUAGGCGACGAUACAUAGCCGACCUGAGAGGGUGAUCGGCCACACUGGGACUGAGACACGGCCCAGACUCCUACGGGAGGCAGCAGUAGGGAAUCUUCGGCAAUGGGGGGAACCCUGACCGAGCAACGCCGCGUGAGUGAAGAAGGUUUUCGGAUCGUAAAGCUCUGUUGUUAAGGAAGAACGAGUGUGAGAAUGG